AUGGCGGGGUGGAUUAGGCAUGCAGUCGUGCGGAAAGGCCCCGCAAGGGGUGCUCGAGCGGCGAAAGGGAUAGUAACACGUAGGUCACCCACCCUCGGGACGGGGAUAGCUGGGGGAAACCCCAAUUAAUACCCGAUAACAUCUUCGGAUCAAAGGUGUAAUUCCGCCUGAGGACGGGCCUGCGUCCUAUCAGCUAGUUGGGGUGGUAACGGCUCACCAAGGCUAGGACGGGUAGCGGGUGUGAGAGCACGACCCGCAUCACUGGGACUGAGACACUGCCCAGACACCUACGGGUGGCUGCAGUCGAGAAUCUUCGUCAAUGGGCGAAAGCCUGAACGAGCGACGCCGCGUGCGGGAUGAAGGCCUUCGGGUUGUAAACCGCUGUCAGUGGGAAUGAAAUGCCAGGGGGCUCACUCCCUGGUUUGACAGACCCGCAGAGGAAGGACGGGCUAAGUUCGUGCCAGCAGCCGCGGUAAUACGAACCGUCCAAACGUUAUUCGGAAUCACUGGGCUUAAAGGGUGCGUAGGCGGCCCGGUAAGUUGGGUGUGAAAUCCCACGGCUCAACCGUGGAAUUGCGCCCAAAACUGUCGGGCUUGAGGGAGAUAGAGGUAAGCGGAACUUAGGGUGGAGCGGUGAAAUGCGUUGAUAUCCUAAGGAACACCGGUGGCGAAAGCGGCUUACUGGGUCUCUUCUGACGCUGAGGCACGAAAGCUAGGGGAGCGAACGGGAUUAGAUACCCCGGUAGUCCUAGCCGUAAACGAUGAGCACUAGAUCGGAGGGUACUCCAUAGCCUUCUGGUCGUAGCGAAAGUGUUAAGUGCUUCCGCCCUGGGGGAGUAAUGGUCGCCAAAG
rnacentral:rRNA from 1 species